GUUUGAUCCUGGCUCAGGACGAACGCUGGCGGCGUGCUUAACACAUGCAAGUCGAGCGGAAAGGCCCUUCGGGGUACUCGAGCGGCGAACGGGUGAGUAACACGUGAGUAACCUGCCCUAGGCUUUGGGAUAACCCUCGGAAACGGGGGCUAAUACCGAAUAUGACCACUGGCCGCAUGGUGUGUGGUGGAAAGUUUUUUCGGCGUGGGAUGGGCUCGCGGCCUAUCAGCUUGUUGGUGGGGUGAUGGCCUACCAAGGCGACGACGGGUAGCCGGCCUGAGAGGGCGACCGGCCACACUGGGACUGAGACACGGCCCAGACUCCUACGGGAGGCAGCAGUGGGGAAUAUUGCACAAUGGGCGGAAGCCUGAUGCAGCGACGCCGCGUGAGGGAUGACGGCCUUCGGGUUGUAAACCUCUUUCAGCAGGGACGAAGGGUAACUGACGGUACCUGCAGAAGAAGCGCCGGCCAACUACGUGCCAGCAGCCGCGGUAAGACGUAGGGCGCGAGCGUUGUCCGGAUUUAUUGGGCGUAAAGAGCUCGUAGGCGGCUUGUCGCGUCGACUGUGAAAACCCGCGGCUCAACUGCGGGCUUGCAGUCGAUACGGGCAGGCUUGAGUUCGGUAGGGGAGACUGGAAUUCCUGGUGUAGCGGUGAAAUGCGCAGAUAUCAGGAGGAACACCGGUGGCGAAGGCGGGUCUCUGGGCCGAUACUGACGCUGAGGAGCGAAAGCGUGGGGAGCGAACAGGAUUAGAUACCCUGGUAGUCCACGCUGUAAACGUUGGGCGCUAGGUGUGGGGGACCUCUCCGGUUCUCUGUGCCGCAGCUAACGCAUUAAGCGCCCCGCCUGGGGAGUACGGCCGCAAGGCUAAAACUCAAAGGAAUUGACGG
rnacentral:rRNA from 1 species